UACGUAGGGUGCAAGCGUUGUCCGGAAUUAUUGGGCGUAAAGGGCGCGUAGGCGGCCAUGCGUGUCUUCCGUGAAAUCCCUCGGCUUAACUGAGGACGUGCGGAAGAAACUGCAAGGGCUCGAGUCCGGGAGAGGGGGGUGGAAUUCCCAGUGUAGCGGUGAAAUGCGUAGAUAUUGGGAGGAACACCAGUGGCGAAGGCGGCCCCCUGGACCGGUACUGACGCUGAG
rnacentral:rRNA from 1 species